UACAGAGGUCUCAAGCGUUGUUCGGAUUCAUUGGGCGUAAAGGGUGUGUAGGUGGCGCUGUAAGUCGGGUGUGAAAUUUCGGAGCUUAACUCCGAAACUGCAUUCGAUACUGCGGUGCUUGAGGACUGGAGAGGAGACUGGAAUUCAUGGUGUAGCAGUGAAAUGCGUAGAUAUCUGGAGGAAUACCGGUGGCGAAGGCGGCGUUCUGGACCAUUACUGACACUGAAUCGCGAAAGCUAGGGGAGCAAACGGG
rnacentral:rRNA from 1 species